UACGAAGGGGGCUAGCGUUGCUCGGAAUUACUGGGCGUAAAGGGAGCGUAGGCGGAUAGUUCAGUCAGAGGUGAAAGCCCAGGGCUCAACCUUGGAAUUGCCUUUGAUACUGGCUGUCUUGAGUAUGGGAGAGGUUAGCGGAACUCCGAGUGUAGAGGUGAAAUUCGUAGAUAUUCGGCGGAACACCAGUGGCGAAGGCGACUCACUGGCCCGAUACUGACGCUGAUGCGCGAAAGCGUGGGGAGCAAACAGG
rnacentral:rRNA from 1 species